rnacentral:rRNA from 1 species
UACGUAGGGUGCAAGCGUUAUCCGGAAUUAUUGGGCGUAAAGAGCUCGUAGGCGGUUUGUCACGUCUGCUGUGAAAACUGGAGGCUCAACCUCCAGCCUGCAGUGAGUACGGGCAGACUAGAGUGCGGUAGGGGAGAUUGGAAUUCCUGGUGUAGCGGUGGAAUGCGCAGAUAUCAGGAGGAACACCGAUGGCGAAGGCAGAUCUCUGGGCCGUAACUGACGCUGAGGAGCGAAAGCAUGGGGAGCGAACAGG